CAGCCUACACCUCCAAACAACCGUCUUAUUAUAGACCUGGAAAUCCUGGAGGGCUGAUUAAAACACCACAAGGGAGAAUGGACAGUUCAUGACAGGAAUGAUUUCAGAAAGGAGAUAUUGUUCCAGUGAGCCAGGAUUUACUCUGUGGAUGAGGAAAACUUGUGGAACAACAGGACAAUUAGAUACAAGGAACUUGAGCCCUUCAACAACUGUGUAGAGCACGCCACCAUCUUCCUGGCCUGUCCUCCUUUCUUUAGAUCAGAGUUUCUGAAACUUGGCACUAUUGUCAUUUAGGCAGAAUAAUUCAUUAUUACGAGAGAGUGCUCCAAGCGUUGUAGGAAGUUCAGUAGCAUCCCUGGAUACCAGUGACUCCUCUCUCGCUAGUUGUGGCAACCGUGAAUGUCUCCAGAUGUCGUCAAAUAUCUGGGGCAAAAUU